rnacentral:rRNA from 1 species
GUAAUACGAAGGUGCCGAGCGUUAUUCGGAAUCAUUGGGCUUAAAGGGCACGCAGGCGGGAUAGCAAGUGUCAAGUGAAAUCCCCCGGCUUAACCGGGGAAAUUGCUUGACAAACUGCUGUCCUUGAGACAGGCAGGGGUGCAUGGAACUCUUGGUGGACCGGUGGAAUGCGUAGAUAUCAAGAGGAACGCCGGAGGUGAAGACGGUGCACUGGGCCUGUUCUGACGCUGAGGUGCGAAAGCGUGGGGAGCAAACGGGAUUAGAUACCCCGGUAGUCCACGCCGUAAACGAUGCCUACUAGGUUGUGGGAGUUCUGACGCUCUCACAGCCGCAGCAAAAGUGUUAAGUAGGCCGCCUGGGGAGUACGGCCGCAAGGUUAAAACUCAAAGGAAUUGACGGGGGCUCACACAAGCGGUGGAGCAUGUGGAUUAAUUCGAAGCAACGCGCAGAACCUUACCUGGGUUUGACAUGCUUGGAUGCCUGCCUGGAAACAGGUUAGGCUGCCCUUCGGGGUGAAACUUGCACAGGUGCUGCAUGGCUGUCGUCAGCUCGUGUCGUGAGAUGUCGGGUUAAGUCCUUUAACGAGCGAAACCCUUGCCGUUAGUUGCCAGCGGGUCAUGCCGGGGACUCUAACGGGACUGCCGGUGUUAAACCGGAGGAAGGUGGGGAUGACGUCAAGUCCUCAUGGCCUUUAUGCCCAGGGCUUCACACGUGCUACAAUGGCAGGUACAGAGGGAUGCGAGACCGCAAGGUGGAGCGAAGCCCAAAAAACCUGCCUCAGUUCGGAUUGCAGGCUGUCAAUUCGCCUGCAUGAAGUUGGAAUCGCUAGUAAUCGCGUAUCAGCUAUGACGCGGUGAAUGUGUUCCUGAGCAUUGUACACACCGCCCGUCAAGUGAUGGAAGCCGNGGAGUACCCNGAAGUCGNGAUUGCUAACCGCAAGGGAGCGUCUGCCGACGGUAAGCUCGGUGACUGGCACUAAGUCGUANCAAG